rnacentral:rRNA from 1 species
UACGUAGGGGGCAAGCGUUGUCCGGAUUCAUUGGGCGUAAAGAGCGUGUAGGCGGACAUUUAAGUCAGGGGUGAAAUCCCAGAGCUCAACUCUGGAACUGCCUUUGAUACUGGGUGUCUAGAGUAUGGAAGAGGUGAGUGGAAUUCCGAGUGUAGAGGUGAAAUUCGUAGAUAUUCGGAGGAACACCAGUGGCGAAGGCGGCUCACUGGUCCAUUACUGACGCUGAGGUGCGAAAGCGUGGGGAGCAAACAGGG